GGAAGCGAGCCGGGUCUGGUGACCUGCACGGCCUUCAAAGCCGCUGGCGUCCGGGGUCUCCCCGGAGGGGUGGGUUCGAUUCCCACGCGCUUCCGCCA
rnacentral:tRNA from 1 species